rnacentral:rRNA from 1 species
GCAAGUUGAACGAGAAGUUUCCGCAUGAUUUUUUCGGAAUGAUUAUGGGAAUGGAAAGUAGCGAACGGGUGAGUAACGCGUGGGUAACCAACCUUAAACUGGGGGACAACACAGGGAAACUUGUGCUAAUACCGCAUAUAUGCAGACAUGGCAUCAUGAUUGCAGGAAAGGCUUCGGCCGGUUUAAGACGGACCCGCGUCCAAUUAGCUAGUUGGUGGUGUAAUGGACCACCAAGGCGACGAUUGGUAGCCGGGCUGAGAGGCUGGAC